rnacentral:rRNA from 1 species
UACGAAGGGGGCUAGCGUUGCUCGGAAUUACUGGGCGUAAAGCGCACGUAGGCGGCUUUCUAAGUCGGGGGUGAAAUCCUGGAGCUCAACUCCAGAACUGCCUUCGAUACUGGAAAGCUCGAGUCCGGGAGAGGUGGGUGGAACUGCGAGUGUAGAGGUGAAAUUCGUAGAUAUUCGCAAGAACACCAGUGGCGAAGGCGGCUCACUGGCCCGGUACUGACGCUGAGGUGCGAAAGCGUGGGGAGCAAACAGGG